rnacentral:tRNA from 2 species
GAGCCGUUAGCUCAGUUGGUAGAGCAUCUGACUUUUAAUCAGAGGGUCGGCAGUUCGAGCCUGCCACGGCUCA